rnacentral:rRNA from 1 species
UACGGAGGGUGCAAGCGUUGUUCGGAAUUAUUGGGCGUAAAGCGCGUGCAGGCGGUUGCUUAAGUCUGAUGUGAAAGCCCUGGGCUCAACCCGGGAAGUGCAUUGGAAACUGGUAGGCUAGAGUGCAGGAGAGGGAAGUGGAAUUCCAAGUGUAGCGGUGAAAUGCGCAGAUAUUUGGAAGAACACCAGUGGCGAAGGCGGCUUCCUGGACUGCGUCUGACGCUGAGGCGCGAAAGCUAGGGGAGCGAACAGGAUUAG